rnacentral:rRNA from 1 species
GAUGAACGCUGGCGGCGUGCCUAAUACAUGCAAGUCGAGCGAAUGGAUUAAGAGCUUGCUCUUAUGAAGUUAGCGGCGGACGGGUGAGUAACACGUGGGUAACCUGCCCAUAAGACUGGGAUAACUCCGGGAAACAGGGGCUAAUACCGGAUAAAAUUUUGAACCGCAGGGAUAGAAAUUGAAAGGCGGCUUCGGCUGUUACUUAUGGAUGGACCCGCGUCGCAUUAGCUAGUUGGUGAGGUAACGGCUCACCAAGGCAACGAUGCGUAGCCGACGUGAGAGGGUGAUCGGCCACACUGGGACUGAGACACGGCCCAGACUCCUACGGGAGGCAGCAGUAGGGAAUCCUCCGCAAUGGACGAAAGUCUGACGGAGCAACGCCGCGUGAGUGAUGAAGGCUUUCGGGUCGUAAAACUCUGUUGUUAGGGAAGAACAAGUGCUAGUUGAAUAAGCUGGCACCUUGACGGUACCUAACCAGAAAGCCACGGCUAACUACGUGCCAGCCGCCGCGGUAA